GACGAACGCUGGCGGCGUGCUUAACACAUGCAAGUCGAACGGAAAGGCCCUGCUUUUGUGGGGUGCUCGAGUGGCGAACGGGUGAGUAACACGUGAGUAACCUGCCCUUGACUUUGGGAUAACUUCAGGAAACUGGGGCUCAUACCGGAUAUGAGCUCCUGCUGCAUGGUGGGGGUUGGAAAGUUUCGGCGGUUGGGGAUGGACUCGCGGCUUAUCAGCUUGUUGGUGGGGUAGUGGCUUACCAAGGCUUUGACGGGUAGCCGGCCUGAGAGGGUGAACGGCCACAUUGGGACUGAGAGACGGCCCAGACGGCUACGGGAGGCAGCAGUGGGGAAUAUUGCACAAUGGGCGGAAGCCUGAUGCAGCAACGCCGCGUGCGGGAUGACGGCCUUCGGGUGGUAAACCGCUUUCGCCUGUGACGAAGAGUGAGUGACGGUAAUGGGUAAAGAAGCACCGGCUAACUACGUG
rnacentral:rRNA from 1 species